rnacentral:lncRNA from 1 species
CAUUUUACAUCUGAAGAAAUGGAGACUGCGGUUAAGGAACCUGUCUGCAUGUCGCACUGUUAAGAAGCAGCAGGUUUGGGGCCAUGAUUCCCAUUUUUGGGCUCUCCCCUUGAUGCCUUGACUUCAUUGGACAAUGCUGAGAGAGGGGCUCAACCUUGGAGAGUUCAAACUUUCCAGCUCUCUGCUUGGAAUGCUUUUCUUAAUCUUUUUCAGCAGCUUGCAAGAAAAUAAGUCAGGUAAGGGAAGAUAGUCACAAUCUGGAUUCAUCUCUUUGUUUACUCAUUUUGGUUUACAUUCCAAUGGAAUGUAAGGGCAAAGUCCCUCGGCUGCCACAUCCCUACCAUACUUCCAGUGCCUGGCAUGUGAUCGAUGCCCAAGAGGUACAUGUACACUGACAAUAUUCAGAACCAAGAAGAAGGACAGCUCCCGGGAGAGGGCAAGUGUGAGACAACGAGGGAAAGAGCUCUGAGGACCAGGUUGGAACAUUACUUUCCUGGUGCAAGACUGUCCAAAGCUUCCUUUCCUCCUGGCACAGUGAUCAGCAGGAUUUUGGUGGGGAAGAUGGGAGGCUGCUCCAUCUGCCUGUAUCUCUGAGUGACUGCAAUAAACUGUGCUUCUCUACUGACCUGGGAUGGGAUGAAACUGAUACUCAUAGAUGACUCAACACAUGAGCCGCAGAAGAGACCUCAGAAUUGGAUUCUUCCCUUACAGAUUAGGAAGCUGAAGUUCAAGAGGCUCUAAGCUCAUGCAGCCACAUCCGAAGGUUUCAUAUAGCUGUAUUAACGUGGGAAAUCU